rnacentral:rRNA from 1 species
GAUGAACGCUGGCGGCGUGCCUAACACAUGCAAGUCGAACGAAGGCCUCGGCCUUAGUGGCGCACGGGUGCGUAACGCGUGGGAACCUGCCCCUUGGUUCGGAAUAACAGUUAGAAAUGACUGCUAAUACCGGAUGAUGACGAAAGUCCAAAGAUUUAUCGCCGAGGGAUGGGCCCGCGUAGGAUUAGCUAGUUGGUGAGGUAAUGGCUCACCAAGGCGACGAUCCUUAGCUGGUCUGAGAGGAUGAUCAGCCACACUGGGACUGAGACACGGCCCAGACUCCUACGGGAGGCAGCAGUGGGGAAUAUUGGACAAUGGGCGAAAGCCUGAUCCAGCAAUGCCGCGUGAGUGAUGAAGGCCUUCGGGUUGUAAAGCUCUUUUACCAGGGAUGAUAAUGACAGUACCUGGAGAAUAAGCUCCGGCUAACUCCGUGCCAGCAGCCGCAGUAAAAC